CAACAGGAUUGCCCCAGUAACGGCGAGUGAAGCGGCAACAGCUCAAAUUUGAAAUCUGGCUCUCGGGCCCGAGUUGUAAUUUGUAGAGGAUGCUUUUGGUGAGGUGCCUUCCGAGUUCCCUGGAACGGGACGCCAUAGAGGGUGAGAGCCCCGUCUGGUUGGACGCCGAACCUCUGUAAAGCUCCUUCGACGAGUCGAGUAGUUUGGGAAUGCUGCUCUAAAUGGGAGGUAUAUGUCUUCUAAAGCUAAAUACCGGCCAGAGACCGAUAGCGCACAAGUAGAGUGAUCGAAAGAUGAAAAGAACUUUGAAAAGAGAGUUAAACAGUACGUGAAAUUGUUGAAAGGGAAGCGCUUGUGACCAGACUUGGGCUUGGUUGAUCAUCCGGGGUUCUCCCCGGUGCACUCUUCCGGCCCAGGCCAGCAUCAGUUCGCCCUGGGGGACAAAGGCAUCGGGAACGUGGCUCUCUCCGGGGAGUGUUAUAGCCCGUUGCGUAAUACCCUGCGGCGGACUGAGGUUCGCGCAUUCGCAAGGAU
rnacentral:rRNA from 1 species